AGAGUUUGAUCCUGGCUCAGGAUGAACGAUGACCCGGUGCUUGCACCGGUGAUUAGUGGCGAACGGGUGAGUAACACGUGAGUAACCUGCCCUUAACUCUGGGAUAAGCCUGGGAAACUGGGUCUAAUACCGGAUAUGACUCCUCAUCGCAUGGUGGGGGGUGGAAAGCUUUAUUGUGGUUUUGGAUGGACUCGCGGCCUAUCAGCUUGUUGGUGAGGUAAUGGCUCACCAAGGCGACGACGGGUAGCCGGCCUGAGAGGGUGACCGGCCACACUGGGACUGAGACACGGCCCAGACUCCUACGGGAGGCAGCAGUGGGGAAUAUUGCACAAUGGGCGCAAGCCUGAUGCAGCGACGCCGCGUGAGGGAUGACGGCCUUCGGGUUGUAAACCUCUUUCAGUAGGGAAGAAGCGAAAGUGACGGUACCUGCAGAAGAAGCGCCGGCUAACUACGUGCCAGCAGCCGCGGUAAUACGUAGGGCGCAAGCGUUAUCCGGAAUUAUUGGGCGUAAAGAGCUCGUAGGCGGUUUGUCGCGUCUGCCGUGAAAGUCCGGGGCUCAACUCCGGAUCUGCGGUGGGUACGGGCAGACUAGAGUGAUGUAGGGGAGACUGGAAUUCCUGGUGUAGCGGUGAAAUGCGCAGAUAUCAGGAGGAACACCGAUGGCGAAGGCAGGUCUCUGGGCAUUAACUGACGCUGAGGAGCGAAAGCAUGGGGAGCGAACAGGAUUAGAUACCCUGGUAGUCCAUGCCGUAAACGUUGGGCACUAGGUGUGGGGGACAUUCCACGUUUUCCGCGCCGUAGCUAACGCAUUAAGUGCCCCGCCUGGGGAGUACGGCCGCAAGGCUAAAACUCAAAGGAAUUGACGG
rnacentral:rRNA from 1 species